CUGUGCGGCUGCCUCCUGGCUGUGAGCAUUCCCGGCCGUCCUCCCUCCCGUGAUGUACACCCAGUUGCCUCUAAUCCGCUACUGCGAUGAACAUCUUUGUGCCUGUCCCCUUGUGAACCUGGACUCCAGUUUCUCUGGGAUGCAUCCCUGGAAUGGAUUACUGGAUCAUAUUCACUUCUAGUACUACCUGACAAGUUAAUGACAUGGGGUUUCUGACUGUGAGGAAGGUCAAGGAGGAAAAUACGAUGAGUAAGGAAGAUAAUGAAUAGAAUUAGUGGAACUUUAGCAGUAAUAAAAACAGUGAAA